GGUAUCGCCGUUAGUCAUGUGCAAAUAUGGAUAGCUGUUUUAGCCGUCUUUAUUGACUGGUUUAUAAGAGUUAUCAGAUAUCACUUUGAUUAGAUUAGAGUGCUUAAAGCAAGUGUGUUACUUGGAUAUAAAUGCAUGGAAUGAUGGAAUAUGUUGUUAUUCUAUUUGUUGGUUUUUGAAUGAUAAAAUGAUUGAAAGGAACUGUUGGGGGCAUUCGUAUUGUUGUGAGAGAGGUGAAAUUCUUAGACCACAGCAAGACGAACUACUGCGGAAGCAUUUGCCAAGAAUGUUUUCAUUGAUCAAGAACGAAAGUUAGAGGUUCGAAGGCGAUCAGAUACCGCCCUAGUUCUAACCAUAAACUAUGCCAACUAGCAAUUUGCUUUGUAUUUUUUAUGACUAAGUGAGAGGCCACGGGAAACCUAAGUAGGGUUAUGGGGGAAGUAUGGUUGCAAAGCUGAAACUUAAAGGAAUUGACGGAAGGGCACCACCAGGAGUGGAGCCUGCGGCUUAAUUUGACUCAACACGGGAAAACUUACCUGGUCCUGACACUAGAAGGAUUGACAGAUUGAUAGCUCUUUCUUGAUUUGGUGGAUGGUGGUGCAUGGCCGUUCUUAGUUGGUGGAGUGGUUUGUCUGGUUAAUUCCGAUAACGAACGAGACUCUAGCCUAUUAAAUAAUACACGGAAUUUUAUCUUCCGCGGUAUUUCUUAGUGGGAUCAAGCG
rnacentral:rRNA from 1 species